UUCAUUCAUACCAAUUGAACCCAAUAAGGUUGAACAAUGAUUUACCCCCUGAGAAAUCUUCUAACGUAUGGUAAUGCAAAUCAUUCUACGUAAAGUUCUGCAAAAUAUCAAUCUGCAGCAGAAUAGAGCCAGUAAGAUUAGAUAUUCCUCUUUUCAAGUUAUCUUGCAAUGAACUUUCCCAGCUAAAUUGGUACUGUUGCUGCGGGAUCCUAUGGAUUCAA
rnacentral:lncRNA from 1 species